rnacentral:rRNA from 2 species
CUUAGGAUGGUUAUAGUUACCACCGCCGUUUACUGGGGCUUAAAUUCAGAGCUUCGCCCAAAGGCUAACCCCUCCUCUUAACCUUCCAGCACCGGGCAGGCGUCAGUCCGUAUACAUCGUCUUGCGACUUCGCACGGACCUGUGUUUUUAGUAAACAGUCGCUUCCCACUGGUCUCUGCGGCCUUCAACGCUCACGGAGUAAAUCCGGUCACGUGUCCGGCCCCCCUUCUCCCGAAGUUACGGGGGCAUUUUGCCGAGUUCCUUAACCACGAUUCUCUCGAUCUCCUUGGUAUUCUCUACCUGACCACCUGAGUCGGUU